GACGAACCGAGCGAACGUUGUUCGGAAUAACUGGGCUUAAAGGGCGCGUAGGCGGGCCGCCAAGUCCGAGGGGAAAUCCUCCGGCUCAACCGGAGAACUGCCUCGGAUACUGGAGGCCUGGAGGGGGGUAGGGGCACGCGGAACUGUGGGUGGAGCGGUGAAAUGCGUUGAUAUCCACAGGAACUCCGGUGGCGAAGGCGGCUCACUGGCCCGGUACUGACGCUGAGGUGCGAAAGCGUGGGGAGCAAACAGG
rnacentral:rRNA from 1 species